AUCAUCGCAAUUUUGUUCAUUUUAAUUUUAUCUUUUCUAAUACUUCUUGGCUCGCUCAUUUUCCUUCCUCUCUUUUCUUUUUAAUCGUCAUUCUUUUCUUUCCUCUCAUUUCUCACAUCCCACAACUUUUCCUUCUUUUUUUUCUUUUUUGAUAAUGAUUCGAUCGAACCCUAUGUAGGUUGCCUACGUAUCAUGCCCCCCCAUGAAUCAGAUCAAGCGUAGUUCUGGAAAAAGUGAUUGACAAAUAAACUAAAAAUAAAAAUCUUUUUGAAUUUUUCAUUUAUAUUUUUUUUGGUUUUUCAAAUACAAAACAGGAAGUACUAUAACAAAAGACUCGACAAUCUUAACUAGACUAACAGACUCGAUACUACUGUACAAGACUAAAACUUAAAAGACAACAUAAGAUAGAUUAAAAAAUAAAAAGUUUCCUCAAGCAGCUCAUGCAUGCAAUGAUCUUGACUAGAAUGGUCCUGGGAUAUUUGUCAUGCUCAAACUCUAUCAAAUUGAUCCAUACCUGAAUGAGAAAAAUAAGAUCAAAUGAGUUAGUGACUCAAUACACAUGUGAUGCCACGACACCUUCUAUUGGACACAUGCAAGACAUGAUUAAGGCUAUUUUUGAAAAUUUACCUACGUGGCCAAGAGUGGCAAGAAGUGCAAACUCAACAACGACGACCUCAAAGACAUGGAAAUACCUCUAAGUCUUAUAUGGAUUCGACUCCCAAUAAUCUUGGCCCAAAAUCAAUUUGCAGAAAUGACCCAUUUUGCAAAAACGACCGAUAUGGCCAAAAGUGGCUAAAGAUGCAAACUUGAAAAGAACGGACCUUAAAAUAAUAUGACACCUAGUUGCGGACUCAAGAUCCUAAGACAUGAGCUAUUGAACCAUUUUUUGCGAAAAUGGUCCCAUUUUGCAAGAAUGGCCGAUAUGACCGAAAGUGGCUAGAAAUGCAAGAUUUAGCUAAGACCCCGCAAAAUCAAGAACCUUAGACACUAGGAAGAUUGGACCCUAUGUGAGUUGCCUACGUAUCACGCCUCGAAAAACAAGAAUCAGGUUUGCGUAGUUCGGGAAGACGAGACAUGGGAGAAAGCCUUUUUAAAAAAAUGCAACUAAUUUGGAAAAAUAAUUUUUUUGUCUUUUUGAGAAAUGAUGGAAAAUGUAAAAUCUUUUUGGAUUUUCUUUUUCCCCUUUUUAUGAAUUUUUUGGAAAAUGAUAAAAGAUGUAAAAUCUUUUUGGAUUUGUUUUUUUUAUUUAUAAUUUUUAGGAAAAUGAUGGAAAAGUGUAAAAUCUUUUUGGAUUUUCUUUUUCAUUUUUUUUGAAUCGAAUUUUUGAAAAAUUAUGAAAGAAAAAUGCGAGUGGGGCUUACUUGCUUCAUUUUAUACUUCACCCUCAAAUAUCGUUGGUCCGCCAAAUGACCCUUUUACCCCUAAAGAAAUGCAGCAUGUAGCACAUAAGGAUGAUUAAAUAUCUUUUUGGGCCAUAAGCCCAUUUUGACAUAAUUGGAUAGGCCUCCUACAACGGGACACGGUGCGUGGGACCGAACCAUGAUAGGUUUAAAUGAUAUGAUGCACAUAAGCAUGACCUAAAGACUGUCCUACGUUUGGGGUUCACUAAACAAGGCAAUUCGGGGCGGCACAUGGUCGAUGACGGCUGUUCUAGCUGUCCACCCACUCCACGCUCCCACGACACACCCCUAAAGACACGGGUGACUCACAAAAAGGCCGUGUACGCUCAAAUAUACUCCGUAAGACUUGUUGCAGAAAGAGAACUCGGGGUUAUGCAAAUGAUGACAGUUAUAAAGCACUAAACUCAUAAAGCAAAAACUGUAAACACAUAAACAAAUAGCAAAUAAUAACAAUAUAAAAUAAUAAAAGUCAAGUAAAGCUAAUAAAAAAUCAUAAAAACCUCAACCAAAUAUUCUAAAAGCCAACAGGAUCGUAGUAUCAGCUCGAACCUACAAGCUCCCCAGCAGAGUCGCCAGAGAUCUCACACCCUUUUUUUACCAAACUUCACUAAACCCUCUUAAAUAAAUAAAAGAAUUUGUAAAGCUUGAAAAGGGGUUUUAAUUAAAAAGUAACAAAAUUAUGUUUAAAAGGAAAUAACUCAGAGUCGCCACCUGACAUUGAUUUAGGUGUGUCAGGUCACCGUUUUAAAAAAUAAUUUUUCCUUUAAAACACUUUGGACUCCAAAACUAAGUCCGCACCAGAGAUUUGGGUAAGGGGGUUCAUUUGACUCGGGGAGAAGGUGUUAGGCACUCCCCGAGUCCCGUAACUAGUACGGUUGCGUACAUGAUCAAGUUGACUUUUAAAAUAUUCGAAUUGAGGUAAUAAACACAGAAAUGAGAAAAUUAACACAUAAGAGGCGCAAGGUCGUCCCCACCUAAUAAAGAAAAAUAAAACAAGAAUAAAACACUACAAGUUCCACUUUUAGCCUCCAAUAUACAGAAUACUACGGGGCAUUCCCCGGAAUAAAAUAUAUACAAAUACUUCGGGGCAUUCCCCGGAUAAAUUUAACUAAAGGAACGACCUCUCACCUCAAAACUAACAAAAAUCCUAAAGUUUGCCUACCCAGGUGUUGACGGCCUAAGCAUGCUCCUACUCGAAAUAAUGAAAUAAGAAUAAAUAGCAACACAAUUUAUCAUGGAUUUCAAAUUUUCUUCAAAUCUUAUUAACGGUAUUAUGGCUUAUUGCUUCCUGGAAGCCCAAAUUUCUUUAUGUCAAUUUGUUUUAGCUCAACCCCAUGGUCAUUUAUCUCAUAACAAGAUUGUAUUCAUGUCAGUUUAAAAUUAAGCAAUUAAAAUCCAAAACAUUCACCAAAAACAAAGAAGAAGUUGAGCCACAGUAAUAAAAAAACAAAGGAGCAGCCAACUGAAUAUUAAUCUAAAAAACAAACCAUCAGAAUUAUACCACAACAAAAGAACAUAUGAAAAUGACGAGAAUAAGAGAAUAGAGAAAGAAUUGGACCUUAAAUAGAGUGUUGCCAAUUAAUGAGAGUUUCUAACUAUACAACUUCUGUUUGGACGCAAAUUGCUACAGCAAGCGAAACAAUUGAAGCCUGAACCACGGACGCCAAACGGACCUCAAACCGGAAACAAUGAACAACGAUCUCAAACGAGAAAUCUCAACGGAAAACUCGAAAACCGGCAACGGAGAGAAUUUAAAAGCGAGUUUGUUGGUGGCUGGAUUUUACAGGUGGUUUUCAGGGUAAAGGCAAAAGUGUUGUGGUGUUCAGUUGUUUGUCUUUGAAAAUGGAAUAAGUCUCUGUUUUUUGGGGAGAUGAAGGGAAUAGAGUUUUGUGUGGCAUUUAGGUGAUUCACACGGUGGAGAUGCUGUUAAGAGAUUGUGGUUAUGGGUCUUUGUUCAUGGUGAAAAGGAAUUGGAAUCAGCUAUGGUAAUUUUUGGAAAGAAUUAGGGGUGGCGACAGGUAGAUGGAGAAGCUGCAGCGCUCAGGAUUUUUCUCGUCUCCUUAUCCGUGUUUUCUGUGCCUAACCCUCUCAAUUUUUAUUUUUGUGAUUCAGCCUCCACUCUGUUUUUCGCUCCUUUUCUCUGUGAAAGACCAAAAUACCCCUAUUCCUAAGUGAUUAUCUUGGAUAAGAAGAAAGAAAAAUCCAACCAAACCGUGUGGGCCCCCUUCUGAUUUCUGUUGCUGUAUACCUGAC
rnacentral:lncRNA from 1 species